rnacentral:rRNA from 1 species
UACGUAGGGUCCGAGCGUUGUCCGGAAUUAUUGGGCGUAAAGAGCUCGUAGGCGGUGUGUCACGUCGGCCGUGAAAAACCUGGGGCUCAACUCUGGGCGUGCGGUCGAUACGGGCAUCACUUGAGUUCGGCAGGGGAGACUGGAAUUCCUGGUGUAGCGGUGAAAUGCGCAGAUAUCAGGAGGAACACCGGUGGCGAAGGCGGGUCUCUGGGCCGAUACUGACGCUGAGGAGCGAAAGCAUGGGUAGCGAACAGG